rnacentral:rRNA from 1 species
UACAGAGGGGGCAAGCGUUAUUCGGAAUUAUUGGGCGUAAAGGGCGCGUAGGCGGCUACACAAGUGGCGGGUGAAAUCCCUCGGCUUAACCGAGGAACUGCCUGCCAGACUGUGUGGCUAGAGUUCGGUAGGGGAGACUGGAAUUCCUGGUGUAGCGGUGAAAUGCGCAGAUAUCAGGAGGAACACCGGUGGCGAAGGCGGGUCUCUGGGCCGAUACUGACGCUGAGGAGCGAAAGCGUGGGGAGCGAACAGG